rnacentral:rRNA from 1 species
AACGAACGCUGGCGGCAGGCUUAACACAUGCAAGUCGAACGCCCCGCAAGGGGAGUGGCAGACGGGUGAGUAACGCGUGGGAACAUACCCUUUUCUACGGAAUAGCUCUGGGAAACUGGAAUUAAUACCGUAUACGCCCUACGGGGGAAAGAUUUAUCGGGGAAGGAUUGGCCCGCGUUGGAUUAGCUAGUUGGUGGGGUAAAGGCCUACCAAGGCGACGAUCCAUAGCUGGUCUGAGAGGAUGAUCAGCCACAUUGGGACUGAGACACGGCCCAAACUCGCACGCGAGCGAGGUGUGGGAACGACGACAAGACGCAGCCCAGCCGCACCCCGCCGUGUCGCGGUACUACUGACCGCAUUGUGGUUGUAAACCUCUACCACCGUUGACGAUCAUCACGGUGGUCGGAGACUACCCCCCGCAAACUUUCGUGCCGGCAGCCGCGGUAACCAUGGGACCCGCACCCGUAUCAAC